UCACAGUAACACCCGUUCCCAUAUGAUCACCAAAGUUAAGCAAUGUUGAGCCUGGUCAGUACCUAGAUGGGUGACUGGCUGGGGAUACCAGAUACAG